GACGUAGGGCGCGAGCGUUGUCCGGAUUUAUUGGGCGUAAAGAGCUCGUAGGCGGCUUGUUGCGUCGACCGUGAAAACCCGGGGCUCAACUUCGGGCUUGCGGUCGAUACGGGCGGGCUAGAGUUCGGUAGGGGAGACUGGAAUUCCUGGUGUAGCGGUGAAAUGCGCAGAUAUCAGGAGGAACACCGGUGGCGAAGGCGGCAUCCUGGACCGGCAUUGACGCUGAUGAGCGAAAGCUAGGGGAGCAAACGGG
rnacentral:rRNA from 1 species